AUUGAACGCUGGCGGCAGGCCUAACACAUGCAAGUCGAGCGAGCGGCGGACGGGUGAGUAAUGUCUGGGAAACUGCCUGAUGGAGGGGGAUAACUACUGGAAACGGUAGCUAAUACCGCAUACCAUCAGAUGUGCCCAGAUGGGAUUAGCUAGUAGGUGGGGUAACGGCUCACCUAGGCGACGAUCCCUAGCUGGUCUGCGAGGAUGACCAGCCACACUGGGGCUGAGACACGGUCCAGACCCCUACGGGAGGCAGCAGUGGGGAAGAGUGCACAAUGGGGGCAAGCCUGAGGCAGCCAUGCCGGGUGUGUGAAGAAGGCCUUCGGGUUGUAAAGCACUUUCAGCGGGGAGGCGUUACCCGCAGAAGAAGCACCGGCUAACUCCGUGCCAGCCGCCGCGGUAAUAC
rnacentral:rRNA from 1 species